rnacentral:lncRNA from 1 species
GGAAGAACUUUUGCCCAGAGAGGGGCAUCAUAGAUGGGAAUGGGCUGCCUGGGGCAGUGGUGGGGUCCCCAUUGUGGGAGGGGUUCAAGGAAAGGCUGGGCGUGGCCCUCAGGGCUCUGCUGGGGUUGCCAUGUUGGGGAAGGGUCCCCAGCUGGGCUCAGUGAUGUCACAGGGCUCUCCCAAGGCAAUUGAUUCCACGGUUCUGUGACAUCACAGCCUCUGGGGCCGGCAGGGUGGCGCAGAACUGUCCCCAGCCCAGAGCUGGAUCCGCAGUUGCUGCGGAGACACGGCCAGAGUGGUGCUGCGGUGGCAGCUCAAGCUACAGCAGCACCAUGGCUGGCUACGGCUCCUGCUGGCUCCUGGGCGCCUGCGUGCUCCUGAUGCUGGUGCAGCCCCUCAGCCCUUCCAGCAAACCUGAGGGGGACCUGGGCACCUUGAAGAAGCUUCCCCAGGUCACGGAGCAGCAGGUCGCCAGCCUUGAGACGACCGCCUGGUGGGUCAAGGCGGUGGCAGAGGCUUUGGUGUCCACAGUGGUGCAGAUGGUGCUGACGGCCAUUGUCCACAGCCUGGGAGGAAGGCUCUGGAGAUGGUGGAGAAAGGUGAGGGAGGGGUGUCAGGCAGCUGGGAUUGAGGCAGGGCUAAGCAUGAAAGAUGGCCUUGAAUCAAGGCUGCACCGGGUGAGGCACGAGAGCCUCCAUGGAGGAGAAAAGCCGGUCAGAUCCCAAGGGUCCUGGCCCUCUUGGGCAGCACUUUGCCCAAGGCCCCAGGGCAGAGGGGGACUUGCGGCCCAGGGAGGGAAUCAGGGCCAGGGGCAGAGCCCCAGGCACACCAGGCUGAGCUGCUCAGAGCUCUUCCCCCUACAGCCUCAGCCCGGGGCAGCCGGGCCAGGCCAGAGUGUCUCCUGGGGCGUCCAAAGUGAUGGCAAGAGGGCUCAGCCCCACGCACUCCCCGUUCUGUGUCUUGCAGGAGAAGCGCCAGAGCCCCUCGCUCUCUGCAGGGCGGUGCUGCUGCCAGGGACGCGGCUGCAGCAAGGAGCUGCUGCAGCUGCAGAGGCAGAGCCGUGCCCUGAUGCGGCUGUGCCUGCGCCUCAGCUCUCGGCAGAGGCGCCGGUAGGAGAGAUCGGCAAAAUGGGGCCUUUGGAAGAGGAGGCGGCUGCACUUCUCCCCUCAGCUCGGAGGUCCCCAGCUCCAGCUCGCCUCUGGGCUGGCAGAGCCGAGCAAGGGGAUGUGAGAGCAGUGCUCAGCCCGGGCACUGCC